rnacentral:rRNA from 1 species
CGGCAGGCCUAACACAUGCAAGUCGAGCGGUAGAGAGAAGCUUGCUUCUCUUGAGAGCGGCGGACGGGUGAGUAAUGCCUAGGAAUCUGCCUGGUAGUGGGGGAUAACGUUCGGAAACGGACGCUAAUACCGCAUACGUCCUACGGGAGAAAGCAGGGGACCUUCGGGCCUUGCGCUAUCAGAUGAGCCUAGGUCGGAUUAGCUAGUUGGUGAGGUAAUGGCUCACCAAGGCGACGAUCCGUAACUGGUCUGAGAGGAUGAUCAGUCACACUGGAACUGAGACACGGUCCAGACUCCUACGGGAGGCAGCAGUGGGGAAUAUUGGACAAUGGGCGAAAGCCUGAUCCAGCCAUGCCGCGUGUGUGAAGAAGGUCUUCGGAUUGUAAAGCACUUUAAGUUGGGAGGAAGGGUUGUAGAUUAAUACUCUGCAAUUUUGACGUUACCGACAGAAUAAGCACCGGCUAACUCUGUGCCAGCAGCCGCGGUAAUACAGAGGGUGCAAGCGUUAAUCGGAAUUACUGGGCGUAAAGCGCGCGUAGGUGGUUUGUUAAGUUGGAUGUGAAAUCCCCGGGCUCAACCUGGGAACUGCAUUCAAAACUGACUGACUAGAGUAUGGUAGAGGGUGGUGGAAUUUCCUGUGUAGCAGUGAAAUGCGUAGAUAUAGGAAGGAACACCAGUGGCGAAGGCGACCACCUGGACUAAUACUGACACUGAGGUGCGAAAGC